CAGAUUUUAGUGUUUGUAGGAUUUAUUUUUUUGUUUUUAAAGUGUCAAACGAACACUCUUCAACAUGAGCUCAGCAUGAGAGGAAGAUGAGGUGGAACCGUGGAGAACGUUUCCCACACAAGGCCACUGAGGCGACUCCAUGUGAGGAAGYGUUCACAGAGGAGCAUCCAGGGGUCCAGCGAGGGUGUCGUCGCUGCAGACUCUGCAGGCCACCUGCUGUAAUGACUUCACUGUGACCAGGAUCAAAGGGAGGCAGCUUCUCCCGGAGCCUCAAACUCCUCCAGCUUGUUUCUAAACUCAGCAGUCGUUGUGGGAUUUUAAGUGAUGCUUUAAAAGCAGUGAAGGUUUCUCCACGGCGGUGAGCAGGUGCUGCAGUUCUCAGCUGAACGUCUUUCAGCUACUCUCAGCUUCCAGGCUCUGUGUUUGUUCUUUCUCAGGAGAUAGUUUUAGAGACGAGU